rnacentral:rRNA from 1 species
AUUGAACGCUGGCGGCAGGCUUAACACAUGCAAGUCGAGCGGGGUGAUGGUGCUUGCACUAUCACUUAGCGGCGGACGGGUGAGUAAUGCUUAGGAAUCUGCCUAUUAGUGGGGGACAACAUCUCGAAAGGGAUGCUAAUACCGCAUACGUCCUACGGGAGAAAGCAGGGGAUCACUUGUGACCUUGCGCUAAUAGAUGAGCCUAAGUGGGAUUAGCUAGUUGGUGGGGUACAGGCCUACCAAGGCGACGAUCUGUAGCGGGUCUGAGAGGACGAUCCGCCACACUGGGACUGAGACACGGCCCAGACUCCUACGGGAGGCAGCAGUGGGGAAUAUUGGACAAUGGGGGGAACCCUGAUCCAGCCAUGCCGCGUGUGUGAAGAAGGCCUUAUGGUUGUAAAGCACUUUAAGCGAGGAGGAGGCUCUUUUGGUUAAUACCCAAGAUGAGUGGACGUUACUCGCAGAAUAAGCACCGGCUAACUCUGUGCCAGCAGCCGCCGUAA